CCGGUGGUUCUGCGUGGAAGGGCCAUCGCUCAACGGAUAAAAGCUACCCUGGGGAUAACAGGCUUAUCUCCCCCAAGAGUCCACAGCGACGGGGAGGUUUGGCACCUCGAUGUCGGCUCAUCACAUCCUGGGGCUGUAGUAGGUCCCAAGGGUUGGGCUGUUCGCCCAUUAAAGUGGUACGCGAGCUGGGUUCAGAACGUCGUGAGACAGUUC
rnacentral:rRNA from 1 species